GACGAACGCUGGCGGCGUGCUUAACACAUGCAAGUCGAACGAGUGGCGAACGGGUGAGUAACGCGUAUCAACCUGCCCUUCAGAGGGGGAUAACUACUGGAAACGGUAGCUAAUACCGCAUACUAUCAGAUGAGCCUAGGUCGGAUUAGCUAGUUGGUGGGGUAAAGGCCUACCAAGGCGACGAUCCGUAACUGGUCUGAGAGGAUGAUCAGUCACACUGGAACUGAGACACGGUCCAGACUCCUACGGGAGGCAGCAGUGGGGAAUAUUGGACAAUGGGCGAAAGCCUGAUGCAGCGACGCCGCGUGGGGGAUGAAGGCUUUCGGGUUGUAAACCUCUUUCGCUAUCGAACGGUUAGUAGGGGAAGAAGCGCCGGCUAACUACGUGCCAGCAGCCGCGGUAAUAC
rnacentral:rRNA from 1 species